CAGCAGGUCCAUCCUCUCCAGGAGAUCCAGGGGGUCCAAUGAAAACAUCGGUUCCUGGUUUUCCUGGAAGCCCAGUCUCUUUUGCCUCUGGCUGGGCUGGCGGAUCCCACCAGCUUGGAAGUCCCAACGGGGUCCCGCUCCACUCAUCCGAUGGCAACAUGGAGACUCACCAUGAGUCAGAACCUCAGCCUCCUGGCUCCCAGCCUGGGGCCGCCCCAGGACAUGAGCUCGCUGCAGGCCAGCUUACCCGGGUUCAAAUCCCGGCCCUGCUCUUAGAGGCCUGCCACAGCAGCAUGUUUCUUUCCCUGAGUCUCACUCCUCUCACCUGGAAAAUGGAGAUGGCACACCUUGUACGAGGGUGGUGAGGUGCACAGAAUCAGAUCAACUUGGAACCCAGAGUGCUUAAUAAAUGUCAGUGCAAAUGGCUUAUUUCCUGCCCCUUGACUGUGAAUUCCUUGGGGAUAGGAACGAGGUCAAAUUCACCCCAAUGCUGAGUGUCUGGACCGAGG